rnacentral:rRNA from 1 species
UGGGGAAUUGUUCGCAAUGGGCGCAAGCCUGACGACGCAACGCCGCGUGGAGGAUGAAGACCUUCGGGUCGUAAACUCCUUUCGAUCGAGACGAAUGGCCCCCGGGUGAACAAUCCGGAGGAGUGACGGUACCGAGAGAAGAAGCCCCGGCUAACUCCGUGCCAGCAGCCGCGGUAAUACGUAGGGUGCAGGCGUUAAUCGGAAUUACUGGGCGUAAAGCGUGCGCAGGCGGCUUCUUAAGUCUGGUGUGAAAGCCCAGGGCUCAGCUCUGGAAGUGCACUAGAUACUGGGAAGCUUGCGUAUCGGAGGGGAGAGUGGAAUUCCUGGUGUAGCGGUGAAAUGCGUAGAUAUCAGGAGGAAUACCGGUGGCGAAAGCGACUCUCUGGACGAUUACUGACGCUGAGGCACGAAAGCGUGGGGAGCAAACAGGAUUAGAUACCCCCGUAGUCCCUGAGCGGGCUGGCAAGGCGCAU